rnacentral:lncRNA from 10 species
CAGCUGUCAGGCGCAAGGACAGAGGUCGGCGCGGGGUCUCCCCGGAGCAGGAGGGAGCAGCGGGUGACAGGUGCAGCCGCGCCAUCCCCAGGCAUCCCGGAACCUGGCCUGGAGGCUGCUGUGGGAUCCGCAGCCCUGCGCGCUGGGGAGGCGCUGCAAUGACCCGGCGGCGGCGCCUUCUCCCAGGUCCCCAAAUAGAAACAGCCCCAGUGCCCUCUCUCCGACCCCACCAGGGCCGCUACCGCGCUCCUCCUUACUCAGACCAGGCUCUACCGACUCCGCAACAGCUGCUCACCCCGCUUGAGAUGCAAAAGGUUCUGAUCCACUAAAGAGAAAGGAAACGACCUUUACACCCCCUUUAGCAAGAAAUCUUCUGCUCCUGUAGGAAGGUCCACCUGAAAACAGAGGGCCCAUAACACUCGUUGGGAAGCGCCGAUAGACACCCCAGAGUCUCCUCAUCCCACUUCCUAGUAGCUCCCUGGCACCGUUGUUUGAUGAUAGCUUGUUGAAACGGAUGCCUGUUGAAAUGGCGAAGGUGAACAGUGUGAGGUGUCAAAAGAAACAUAUGACUAACAAUAAAGAUAAGCUCACAAAUUAUAUAUUCUUUUGCAAAGUGAAUUGGAGCUAGCUAAAAUGUACCCCUCUAUUUUUGUCAUUCUCCUUUGUGUUCAAGAGAGAG